CUGCCGCCAUCUUGUCGCUCCCCUCCCCCGGGCAGUGGCGCAGCGCGUAAUGGCGGUGCUGGGGGGGUGAGGGGAGGAGGGGUCGCUGCCCCCCAAAACACACUGGGCUUCGCCACCUGCCCUCAGCGCGGGUGCGGACACCAUAACCUGUGCGUCUGCACAGCUCAAACAGUCCCCUUUGCCCGGAGCCCCGGGGCACAUCCUUGCGAGCCGCUCACCCCGACACGCUGCUGGUGGUGGUCGACACGAGUUAUUGCACACAUCCGGCAUCUUUUUCCCCCUAAAACCUUUAGUUGUCAAAUCAAAGGACACGCCAAAGGUUCCCCCCGGCAGUCCCAUUUUCCCUGUGGUGACAGUUUCACCCUCCCAUUACAUCCCCAAAAUGCCUCACCUUGGACUCAUUUAGACUCUUAGCCUGUAAACGUCACUCAAAUAAUAAGCAUUAAAAUGCCUGUCUUUAAAAAGAGAAGUAUAUAAAUAACCCCCUUCCCUUCCAUCACAGCCUGCUGACACAGAAAACACUGGAGCCACUUCCUGGAAUUUGGGUCAGUAAAAGUCCUGACAAACAUGCUCUGGGGGUCAGGACAUACUGAGGUAUCCAAGGAAAAGGACAUGAGUUUGAUUGUCCUUGAUCCACACACAGUAAUUAUUCCUCCAUUUCCCUCCUCCAACAAGAGAGCAUAGGGAAGAUUUAAACUCCAGAAGGAUGGCUGGAUUCACCGUGGGAUUCAAAAGAAAGACAAAACUUUUCCACAGUACUCACACAUAUAGUUAAUCUCUGCUUAGGUUUUCCUGCCCUUAAAGUUGGAGCGCUAGAACCAAAGUCCUCCCAUUCCAGAAAUUAAGCCCUGCAAGGUUUAAACAUCCACAAACAAAUCCUUAAAUGAGCAAAACACCUUCUGACAGACAAACAUGUCAGUUCUGUACAGGACAGGGUCUGGCCUUAAACAAAACAUUUCUCAGUUCUCUCCUUCACUCUUCCACAACGCUCCUUCAUCCAGCUACAACUCCAGAGUUAAAGAUUUAUAUUUGUAUUUCUUCCCCAUGUGCACCUAUUUAUAUAAUUUAAAACCUUGCAGGUGUCUUCACUGAGGCUGCCUGACAGUUAAAAGGAAAAAAGAAAAAGUUUCUGUAUUCUUUUAAAAAGCUGUUACUGGAUGGAGGCCCAAAUUUUGUGGGGUUUUUCUGAAAGCAAGUGUCAAAUAAAUCUUUUAAUUCCUUUUCUUCUUACUGCUUUGGAGACAAUUCUAAUUUCUGAACAAUUCUGCAAUGUUUACAUCCCUGCAGUGUCUUCAGUGCUUUUAUAAACAAGGGCAUUGUUUAAGAUAAUUCAUAUGCACUAGAAAAUGACAUUAAUUAAUUCUUUGCUGUGCAAGUUUUAGAAGUAUCAUAGCAAUUUAAACCCUGAUCCUGCAGUCAGGAAAGUCAGUUCUUGGGGAAAUCAGUUUUCCCUCUGUUAUUAAGUUGCCAUCUGCACUAGGCAGGACCAUGUAUUCUCUGUUUCACUUUUAUUCUUCCACAGCUGAGUCAGACACAAUUCCCUGGAGGAAGCUGAGCAGCUCCUGAGUACCUGAGUCAAGCAUUAAACCAACACUGGAGUCCUCACAAACCCUGCUUACUGUUAAACUCAGCAAGUUUUUAUUGAUGGGUUCGACCAAAACUGCUUAAAACCUGACACUGCCAGGUGCUUGGACACUCAAAUCCUAGCAGGAUUCCCAAAUUUGCUGUUCCUUCACCUGCAGAGCCUCCUCUGGUAGUCCUACUGAAAGGCUACACUGUUAACCCCCAAACAGCCAGAAAUACAGCUUUCUGGGUGUAGAGGAGGUUGCAUUAGGAAAACAGUGUCACCAGCUGCCACCAAACCCUUGUGAGCUAUGAAGUCAACACUGUUUAUGAAGUUGUAUCUGCCUUUUAGAAUAUUUUUAUCCAACACUGAUAGAUACUGACCUUGUGUACAUGAGCUUCCUUAUCUGUUUUGAAACUAUCAACAGGUCAUAUGGUACUAACCAUCUUAGCAAGCAGAUUUCUCAUCUUACAGAACUAUGGCCUCACUUCUAAGGAAAGGAGAUAUUUUACUAAUCAUAAAGCAACUCAGGCCCUGAAAUCCAGAGUGUGAUACAAAAUAAAUCCUACCAUGAAUGUAAUUCUCAGGUUGCAGUACUGAAAACUUGUUUCUUGUUCUACAGAGCUGCUUAUGAGUACGAUACAAUAUUUGUGUGAGUCUUUCAUAUUGUAAGCAGGGCAAUAAAAAUAUAACUUCAUUUGUAUUGUUGUCCAGCCACAGGUUAGCAGAGGGACUUGGAAAGAGCCUUUAGUCAACAGCGUAUAUCUCUCCGUAACAUCAGAAAUCUGUCUUUAACAGCAUAAUUUUUACAUGCUCCAUCUGAUCAGUUCCCAAAGUUCUGUGGACAGUUUUAAGAGUCAAAAGGCACAAUUUUACUGAUUUGGAGGAAUAACAUGAAAAGAAGAAGCACAUGCAACCAUUGAUGGUACUGCUGGUGAAGCCUUCACUAAAAAGUCUGCAUUUCCCUACAGCAGUGGCUACAAGGCUCUUUGGACUCUUUGGAGGAAGAAUGAGUCCGUAACUUUCACACAGGAGAUACUUCUUGAGCUGGAGUCAGGGCACAGGACUGCCACCCAAGGCUACCACUGAAAUGGCAGCAGAAUAGAGGCAAAGGAAUGGGAGAUAAGAUGAAGAUGGUCCCCUUUUGAGACAAGCUCAAAGGAACAGAAGGUGAAGACAAAAGAAGAGAGACUCAUAGCAGCAAGAAGAAAGGGAAGAGGCACAUCAGUAAAUCUUGGAUUCUGUGAAUUCUCAUUGUUAACUGGUUUGAACUGGUAAGCUAGUAAUUGCCUAAAUCAAAACAGGCACCUAGUCAAGAUGGCUCCUAUAUUAAUCAGCAUAAGUAUUAUACUUUGAAGAAGGCACUAAUGUUUCUCAUUUUGGUUUCUGUAAACCUUUUCUAAUUACUAUUUCCAAAUACCAAAUGUAACUUUUAUGUUAUGUAACAUAAAUGUAGCAUUAGAGUCUUCUUUGAAAAUCCUCUAGAGGGUCACUGACCAGAGAGUGUGAUGGCAGCUCAGAAGGGCCUGUGGGAUUGUCAGAGUCCCGAGGACACCCCCAGCUCCACAGCAGUGCUGGUCUCCAGCUCCUCACAGCCCUGCCCUGCCUGGCCAUGGGCCCACGACCUGUCCCAGCCAUGGCUGUCCCCGAGCUGGGGAGGUGCCCGGUGCCUGAGGCUGCCCUCAGCUGCACCUGGAUGGGGAAUGGGAAUGGCCUGGGCUGCCAGACCCUGCUCUGAUGCCCUGGGAAUUCCCCUGCAGUCCCCAGUCCCCAGCCCUAAGGGAUCUGCUGCCUUUGCUGCCAGCAAUCCUUGCUGUGCCCUGCCAGGAACUAAAAGACCUAAAUCAUGAACCAAACCCAAUUCUGGUCUUCAAGAAAAAGGGGGAGGAAGGCCCAUCUUUCCAUUCCCUCACUGUUGCCGCUGAGUGUUGAUUAGGUCUGUCCCUUGGCAAGUGAGGGGUCUCCAGCAAGAGAAUGGAAGAGGUGUAGAAACUUGAAGUACAAAAGCUCGUAGAGUUGUGAGCAGAGGAGAGGGAAGGUCUGGAUAUGGAGGCACCAGCUGGAGCACUCAGAGGGGAAAGUGCUCUCUGAAUGGCCUGAGUUAAUGACACCAGGUUAGCAGGUCACCAAGACCACAGGGCAUCUCCCUGUUAUCCCUCAAGACACUCAGAACUGGGGACAAAGUGAUUAGCCCUCAUGAUUGUCAGAGUUGGGACAGGAUGCAGAUGCUGUUGCAAAAAUUCAAAAAAGAUAAAAAAGAUGUCCAAACCCUGUGCAUAAUCACAAAUCCAAGAAUAGCCCAGGAGACAUGAGAAGGGCUUAAGAGUUGGCAUCCCUUGUGUUCUCCAUGGCAUCACACAGAUCCUGGACCCGUUACCUGGGCAUGGUCUUCAUAUUGCCUGGAUUUUGGAUAGAUGGCUUGAACAUGAUGACCUGAUGCCUGGUGGCUGCACUUGUGAGUGUGAGACUGAAUGUGGCUGAGUGAAACCUGUUUUGUUUCAGUUUUUAUUUUAAAUGAAAUCACUUUCUUCCCCUUCCCCUCCUAUAUGUUUUCUACAUUGUUUAUACCAUGUUGGAGUAGUAAAUAGGAGCACCUAGCUGCAUAAUCUUUCAGUCAUAUCUCUUGUGGUGGCAGCAGAGAAAGAACCAUAAAAAAUUUAAUGUCAGUAGAAAAUAGUCUUUUUUUCUGGAUGGGUUCAUCAAAGGCCACCCUGUCCCUCUUGCUGGCUUUGGUCAGCAGUGGAGGUUACACAGCUGGAGCUCUGGCCCACUCCAUUGUAAGAGGCUUAGCUCAGGCUUCAGCAUGCACAUUGCAACCUUUCCACUUAAAUCAUUAAAGGUAAAGGGGUUUUGAGACAUCUAGUCCACCACACUGCCUUAAGACUAAAUAUAUCCAUCCAUUCUGGAUGGAUGCUCAUUGGACUGGAUGUCCAGAACACCAACUACAUGCCCAAACUGAGGUAGGGCUCCCAACCCUGGCAAUAAUUGUCUUCUCCUAAGGGGCAGGGCCCCAGGAUGCUGUCAUGUCAGCACAGCCACUGCUCCUCAGCUGUGAGGCAGGAACCCCUGCUUCAUGCUGGGACUGAAAAGCUGCUUAGUGAGCUAAAGGCUCCCGGCUCCUUUCAGACACCCACGGACACGGUGGAGCUGAAACCCUCCCACCCCUUUCCGAGGCAGGCAGCUCAGUGCCUGCAGGGAAGCAGGAGCUGCUGCUGCCUCUCUCUAAGACAGCAGCUCCUGGUGACUUCCCCUUGUCUAAAAGCUGGCUGGUGGUUUUCAGCUCCAAGAAGUGGCUGCACUUGGCUUGUUGUGUGUCACCUCACUGUGAAGUAACUUAAGUCUCCCUGUACUCAUCACUUCUAGCCUAUUCAUAGUAAACAGGAAAAGUAGUUUAUUUCCUUCCUCUUUGCAACUGCUUUUUAUAUAUUUGUGUGCUGCUAUUCUGCCCCUCCUCAGACUUCUUGAGACUGAAUUGUUUUUCAUUGUGCCUUACAGUUUAUAUCUUUUGAACUUCUCGUAGAGCAGCAGUUUAACAUUUAAAUGAAUAUAGUGUUCCUGAAAUGAGCUGGACUGACAAGGCAUGGAAAUGGAGACUUCUGUCUUCAGAGAUUAGACACCACAGUGGUAGGAGGAGUGAGAACUCCAUACCUAACUUGUGAUCUGGAACAUCUCUAGAGGCAAGAAGACAAUGUGGUGAUGAAAUAUAUCUAAGUGGUUCAGGUUUCCUCCUUAAUCAGUAACCUCUAGGCAGCCUCUGAGGAUUCAUUUGUGCCAGAUGUGGUGGUGGUUUUGCGAUAUGGACAAAACAUUACAAUAGCAAGGAGCAGUGUUAACCAGCUCAUUUCAUAUGAAUUACCAGCCUUGUGGGGGCAGAGCAUUCAGGCAGGUUCAUCUAAUCAGCUGUAGAUGGACACAUGGAAGGAUCUCCAGCCAAGUCAUCUCAGGCCCCUCUUUCAGCUGCAGGGGAGACAAAGGCACUCGGAGGUCAUGAAUCAUCUCAUCCCAAAGUGUUGGCGCUGUGCAGAUAUGGGCUGUGGUUAAAGUUUCAUAAUGGAAAAUCUGACAGGCAGUUAACUAAUCCAUGAGUCAUAUUUCGUAAUAGCCUAAAGGUCUCUGAUGCUCGACCUUCAUUUGAUACCCUUGCCAUCAGGCAGUUUAUACAUGACCCCUCUGAAGAACAUUCUUUAUAUAGAUGACUGCACUGCUGCCCUUUUAUACCUGCAAGGAUGGGCAUUGCACUUACUGAACCAGGGGAGUCUCCCAUCUCCCUUUCCACCCCUCCUCUCCAUGAACAGGACUGCAGAGGUGCACUGCAGGACACUCACCUGGGGAAUGAGAGCAGUGGAAAUCUCUCUGCUUAGUUUAAGUCUUCUGUAGGACCCGGCUGAAAGCUGAGGAGAGGGAUGGGGAAGCUGUUUUCAAACUCCAUUCACCCUAACCCUGCUGAAGGGGUUUCUGAUUGGAACAGCUCCAGUAAUAAAAGUAGCAGUGGAACUACCAGCACUAACAGAGCUCUGCUGGUUUCACCUGUGCAUGGCUCACUUCUGCUCAAGGCAGGCCAGACAGACACAGAACAAGACAUCCUUUUUUUGCUAACAGCAUUCCCAAUGCCAGGGUCUUAAAAGGAAGGCCUAAUGUGGAAAGGGCUGGUCUGGAGAAUCUACACCUCUGUUUUCUAGCCAAAGGGUGAAAAAGCAGCACAGUGCUUAUGAGGGUACCUUGGCUUUCAGGACUUCUCAGGUCCUUUCUCAAAGGCAUUGCUGCUGUUUCCAAAGCUAAAAUAAAGCAGACACAUGACUUUGGUCACUGCAUGAGAAGUUUACAUACUAUGACUAGUCAUAAUAAAGAAACCUAAACAAAA